rnacentral:rRNA from 1 species
AACGCGAAGAACCUUACCUGGGCUUGACAUGCAGGUGACGAUCGCAGAGAUGCGAAGUUCUCGCAAGAGACGCCUGCACAGGUGCUGCAUGGCUGUCGUCAGCUCGUGCCGUGAGGUGUUGGGUUAAGUCCCGCAACGAGCGCAACCCUUGUCGUUAGUUGCCAACAGGUGAAGCUGGGCCCUCUAACGAGACUGCCUAGGUUAACUAGGAGGAAGGUGAGGAUGACGUCAAGUCCGCAUGGCCCUUAUGCCCAGGGCUACACACGUGCUACAAUGGUCGGUACAGAAGGCAGCAAGACUGCGAAGUGGAGCAAAUCCUUAAAGCCGGCCCCAGUUCAGAUUGUAGUCUGCAACUCGACUACAUGAAGAUGGAAUUGCUAGUAAUGGCGAGUCAGCAACAUCGCCGUGAAUACGUUCCCGGGCCUUGUACACACCGCUACAGU